UACGAAGGGUGCAAGCGUUACUCGGAAUUACUGGGCGAAAGGGUGCGUAGGUGGUUUGUUAAGUCUGCUGUGAAAGCCCCGGGCUCAACCUGGGAAUGGCCGUUGAAACUGGCGAACUGGAGUGUGGCAGAGGGGGGUGGAAUUCCGCGUGUAGCAGUGAAAUGCGUAGAGAUGCGGAGGAACACCGAUGGCGAAGGCAGCCCCCUGGGCUGACACUGACGCUCAGGCACGAAAGCGUGGGGAGCAAACAGG
rnacentral:rRNA from 1 species